GGAGUGGCUACAGCUCAGCGGGAGGGCAUCUGCUUGGCAUGCAGAAGUCCCCAGGUUCGAUCCCCGGGGUCUCCA
rnacentral:tRNA from 1 species